GCUAUUUCAUACUUAGUUUAGGAUUAUACUUCCUAUUUAGUUUAUGUUUAUUUCUACCUAAAUCAUAAGAGAGCUUAAUCCUAUAAAUAGGGCUCUUUUAUCUAAUGUGAAGAAGUUUAUGAGAUCAAUAUCAUUUGAGCAUUGUGCUACCAACUUCAAUUCUUAUCAACCUUUGUGUUGUGGCAAAUUACCUCCAAGACUUAUCAUUACUUUUGCCUGGGAGUGUGGCGUCUAUCUUUAUUCUUGUCUUCUUGUGGCGUGUCAACUUAUCAAAGAGUCUUGAUCAAGUUCUAUCUUUUGUUCUUGUGUGUUACUUAUCAAAGGAGCAAGUUCAAUUCUACCUUUUACUCUUUAGUUCAUUUAUUAGUGUUUGUGCUCUUUAAAACCUAAAAUCCAUUAGAAGAGUUGUGUGUGUUCUUUGUGUUCUUUAAAACCAUUAGUUCAAUUCUUU
rnacentral:misc_RNA from 1 species